AGAUUAUCUGCCUGUGAUGAAAAGACUGAGGAUACUCUUUCUACAUUAGAGAAAGUAUGGGAUGAAGCAGAUAAAGUGGUAUAUGAGCAACAAAUGGAGCACCUUCACGAUCAACUGACAGCAGCACUCAUUGAUAACCAAGAACUUAAAAUGAAACUUAAAUCAAUCGAGAGUAGAGAGGCAAAGAGUCAGGAAGCAAAAACUAAAAAAUAUGGUUCUUAUAGAGGAAGGGACUUGUCAACGUCAACUACCAGAGAAAGUUUUGAGAGUGUUUCAUCUCAACCAACCACACCCCCUGACAUUA